rnacentral:rRNA from 1 species
UACGUAGGGAGCAAGCGUUGUCCGGAAUCAUUGGGCGUAAAGCGCGCGUAGGCGGCCUCAUAAGUCCGUUGUGAAAGUCAAAGGCUCAACCUUUGAAAGCCGAUGGAUACUGUGAGGCUAGAGUCCGGAAGAGGCGAGUGGAGUUCCUGGUGUAGCGGUGGAAUGCGCAGAUAUCAGGAGGAACACCAAUAGCGAAGGCAGCUCGCUGGGACGGUACUGACGCUAAGGCGCGAAAGCGUGGGGAGCGAACAGG